rnacentral:rRNA from 1 species
CGAAGAUGGAGUUGCUAGUAAUCCCGAAUCAGCACGUCGGGGUGAAUGCGUUCCCGGGUCUUGUACACACCGCCCGUCACACCAUGGGAGUCAGCAACGCCCGAAGUCAGUGACCUAACCGAGAGGGAGGAGCUGCCGAAGGCGGGGCCGGUAACUGGGGUGAAGUCGUAACAAGGUAUC